rnacentral:rRNA from 1 species
CGCUGGCGGCGCGCCUAACACAUGCAAGUCGAACGAGCGAGAGAGAGCUUGCUUUCUCGAGCGAGUGGCGAACGGGUGAGUAACGCGUGAGGAACCUGCCUCAAAGAGGGGGGACAACAGUUGGAAACGACUGCUAAUACCGCAUAAGCCCACGACCCGGCAUCGGGUAGAGGGAAAAGGAGCAAUCCGCUUUGAGAUGGCCUCGCGUCCGAUUAGCUAGUUGGUGAGGUAACGGCCCACCAAGGCGACGAUCGGUAGCCGGACUGAGAGGUUGAACGGCCACAUUGGGACUGAGACACGGCCCAGACUCCUACGGGAGGCAGCAGUGGGGAAUAUUGCACAAUGGGGGAAACCCUGAUGCAGCGACGCCGCGUGGAGGAAGAAGGUCUUCGGAUUGUAAACUCCUGUUGUUGAGGAAGAUAAUGACGGUACUCAACAAGGAAGUGACGGCUAACUACGUG